UACAGAGGGUGCGAGCGUUAAUCGGAAUUACUGGGCGUAAAGCGCGCGUAGGCGGUUUUUCAAGUCGAUUGUGAAAUCCCCGGGCUUAACCUGGGAACUGCAGUCGAGACUGUCUAGCUAGAGUAUGGGAGAGGGAAGUGGAAUUUCAGGUGUAGCGGUGAAAUGCGUAGAUAUCUGAAGGAACAUCAGUGGCGAAAGCGACUUCCUGGACCAAUACUGACGCUCAUGUGCGAAAGCGUGGGGAGCAAACAGG
rnacentral:rRNA from 1 species